rnacentral:rRNA from 1 species
UACACGACCGUACCGCAAACCGACACUGGUGCGCGAGAUGAGUAUUCUAAGGCGCUUGAGAGAACUCAGGAGAAGGAACUCGGCAAAUUGACACCGUAACUUCGGAAGAAGGUGUGCCUUUAGUAGGUGAAGGGAUUUACUCCUGGAGCCCAAUGAGGUUGCAAAAAAUCGGUGGCUGCGACUGUUUAUUAAAAACACAGCACUCCGCAAACACGAAAGUGGACGUAUAGGGUGUGACGCCUGCCCGGUGCUGGAAGAUUAAAUGAUGGGGUGCAAGCUCUUGAUUGAAGUCCCAGUAAACGGCGGCCGUAACAAUAACGGUCCUAAGGUAGCGAAAUUCCUUGUCGGGUAAGUUCCGACCUGCACGAAUGGCGUAACGAUGGCCACACUGUCUCCUCCUGAGACUCAGCGAAGUUGAAAUGUUUGUGAUGAUGCAAUCUCCCCGCGGAAAGACGGAAAGACCCCAUGAACCUUUACUGUAGCUUUGUGUUGGACUUUGAACAGAUCUGUGUAGGAUAGGUGGGAGGCUUUGAAGCAGGGUCGCUAGAUCUUGUGGAGCCAACGUUGAAAUACCACCCUGGUGUGUUUGAGGUUCUAACCUAGGCCCGUAAUCCGGGUUGGGGACAGUGCAUGGUAGGCAGUUUGACUGGGGCGGUCUCCUCCCAAAGUGUAACGGAGGAGUUCGAAGGUACGCUAGUUACGGUCGGACAUCGUGACGAUAGUGCAAUGGCAUAAGCGUGCUUAACUGCGAGACUGACAAGUCGAGCUGAUGCGAAAGCAGGACAUAGUGAUCCGGUGGUUCUGUAUGGAAGGGCCAUCGCUCAACGGAUAAAAGGUACUCUGGGGAUAACAGGCUGAUACCGCCCAAGAGUUCAUAUCGACGGCGGUGUUUGGCACCUCGAUGUCGGCUCAUCUCAUCCUGGGGCUGUAGCCGGUCCCAAGGGUAUGGCUGUUCGCCAUUUAAAGAGGUACGUGAGCUGGGUUUAAAACGUCGUGAGACAGUUUGGUCCCUAUCUUCCGUGGGCGCUGCAGAUUUGAGGAAGCCUGCUCCUAGUACGAGAGGACCGGAGUGGACGCACCUCUGGUGUAUCGGUUGUCACGCCAGUGGCAUUGCCGAGUAGCUAUGUGCGGAAGAGAUAACCGCUGAAAGCAUCUAAGCGGGAAACUCGUUUCAAGAUGAGAUCUGCCGGGGCCUUGAGCCCCCUGAAGAGUCGUUCAAGACCAGGACGUUGAUAGGUCGGGUGUGGAAGCGCAGUAAUGCGUUAAGCUAACCGAUACUAAUUGCUCGUGCGGCUUGACCCC